rnacentral:tRNA from 1 species
GCAGUCAAAGCUUUGCCGUAAGCAUCAAUUUUGUAAAUUGAAAAAAGAUUCUAAAUCUGACUGCU